rnacentral:pre_miRNA from 1 species
CAGAAGACAAAGGUUGAAAUGAUUGAAGCACUUACAUACCAGUAUCGCUGUAAUAAAUCAUCAAUCAAUGAUCUUGGUCAUUUG